rnacentral:rRNA from 1 species
GAUGAACGCUAGCGGGAGGCCUAACACAUGCAAGCCGAGCGGUAGAGUUCCUUCGGGAACUUGAGAGCGGCGUACGGGUGCGUAACACGUGUGCAACCUACCUUUAUCUGGGGGAUAGCCUUUCGAAAGGAAGAUUAAUACCCCAUAAUAUAAUGAUUGGCAUCAAUUAUUAUUGAAAACUCCGGUGGAUAGAGAUGGGCACGCGCAAGAUUAGAUAGUUGGUGAGGUAACGGCUCACCAAGUCAAUGAUCUUUAGGGGUCCUGAGAGGGAGAUCCCCCACACUGGUACUGAGACACGGACCAGACUCCUACGGGAGGCAGCAGUGAGGAAGAUUGGACAAUGGGUGAAAGCCUGAUCCAGCCAUCCCGCGUGAAGGAUGACGGUCCUAUGGAUUGUAAACUUCUUUUGUACAGGGAUAAACCUACUCUCGUGAGGGUAGCUGAAGGUACUGGACGAAUAAGCACCGGCUAACUCCGUG